CCGUGACCCACAAGGUCUCAGUGGCACAUGCCGAAAACUUAUUUAUUGUUGGACAAACGUUACACACAAGUGAAAGAGACCAAUUUGAGCAGAGGAUCGAAAAGGAGUUGCGACAACAAGGGAAGUGAAUGAGUGAGCAAUAAAGUGCUUUUUCAAAAAUA